GACGUAGGGCGCAAGCGUUGUCCGGAAUUAUUGGGCGUAAAGAGCUCGUAGGCGGUUUGUCGCGUCUGCUGUGAAAACCCGAGGCUCAACCUCAGGCCUGCAGUGGGUACGGGCAGACUAGAGUGCGGUAGGGGAGAUUGGAAUUCCUGGUGUAGCGGUGGAAUGCGCAGAUAUCAGGAGGAACACCUAUGGCGAAAGCAGCUCUCUGGGACGGUACUGACGCUGAGACGCGAAAGCGUGGGGAGCGAACAGG
rnacentral:rRNA from 1 species